UCUAACCUCAGCUCAAAUAUUCAAAUUAUAUCAUAAUUAUAAUUUGAAUAUUCAUAACACAUAGAGAUACUAAAUGGAUACUAAACAGCUGCUAAACGUAGAAGCGAUAGACCGAUGAAUCAGAACACACAGAUCGGAACCUCGGGAAGAAAUUACGCGCGAAAUUUCGAAUCUCGAUUAACCGUAAAUAAUCGUAAAUAGAACAACUCGAACGUACGAAUGUACGGAAAAUGGCGUAUCGUAAGAGCGGGAUAGGAGAGGAAAUUGUCUGUGUACGGAUUAGUUGAUCUUACGCAUCUGUGAGAGAGCAGCGAGACCGGGACGAUUCUGUGAGACCAAUAGGCAGCCGAGACGGCGGAGCGAGAGCGAUGCGCGCGCAUACUAGCGCCGCGGCGUAGAUUUGAUUCGGCGCGGGUCGCGCGAAGAAGGAGAGCCGCCAGUGCGUCUGCGCCGACCGAACACGUUCUAUUGGGCCGCCUUCCUAGAACCGGGUCCACCUUCGAUAAUCGCGCGCGACGUUCUAGUCGAAUUUGGAUUAGGCAGCCACCAAUCCGUGACCUUGACGUCUUCCAUCGGCACCGCAACGGUGAAUGUUAUCGAGAGAACGUAUCCGAAAGUGGAAUCGAACGCCUCGUUGUUGUCGUCGUCGUCGUCGUGGCACUACAAUCGACUUCCAGUCGAUGUAGGUCAGGACCACGCUAUUGCUGCGAUCUCCCGCGUUCUCAGAAACGAAAAUUAUUCACUUCCGCGAGUCGAGCCUUUACCUUUUUCUUUCUCUUUUUUUAAAUCAAGGGUUUCCAAGGAGCGGCGGUACACGCGACAAACUCUUUGAUUCGGGAACGCAAUGGUAUCGUAUCCGAGAAUAUUGAGACGUAAGGACGGUACGAUAAGAUACUGUCUACUUCUACUACUACUACUACUACUACUAUUAUAUAUAACGUCCGGUUUAAAAAUAUCUGUGUAGAAGAACGGAUUAAAAAGUGAAAUCCUGUAUAUCGACUAUUUUAUAUUUAAAUUACCUUGGACCGGUGAUAAAUAAUUCGACGUAAGCAAUAAAUUUCCCACGAGGCUAAUGUAAUUAAUGUUAUUAGUACUAAUUAUAUAUUUCAUGUGUAAAUAUCUUUGACAUGGACACUCGAUAAUGUAGAAACGAAAGUAUCGAACUGGUAUGAAAACGAUGGGAAAACUAAGAUGGGAGAACGGAAUUUCCUAUAAAUCGGUAUAUGCCACUUGGCGUUAAAGGUUUUAUUAAUUUUUUAAAUAAUAGCACGUUACAAACUGUCAUUUCGCGAAUAUACCAAACUACUCGUUUAUCGCAGGCAACUCUUUCUCCAAAAAUGGCCAAGAAUUGAAAAACUCACGCGGUCAGUUUAAUUUCGUGUGAAUUACACUUGACCACCAGUUCGGAAUCAUUAAUUCCUACCUUGUCAGUCACGACGAAUACUUGUUUCCAGGCAAUUAAACUACUUUCUCGCUUGUCACAAAAUAUCGAUCGCAAUCUUCGCAAAUGUAUAAUGUACAUCUACUAUUACAUAUGUAAACUGUUUUUGCCAGUAUAAUAAAUAUCUUAUUUCAAGCAGGAAAUCAAGAUGCAAGGGUAAUAUCCGACGAUUAAAAUUAUUCCUCUACCCAAAUUCUCUAAAUAACAAACAGUUUUUACAAGUUACGGAACUCCGCUUACCGCUAUAUUUUUAUUGAAAUGCAAAAUUGUAUUCCAACAGAUCGUAGAUUCAAUCGGUCGAUUGAAUUCGCUUGUCCGAACUUGAACUCUAACAGUAACCAAUCUGGACGAAAGAUCAUAAAUAACGAGGAGAAUCCGCGAACCGAAUAAACUUUUAUUUCCUCGUGAACCAUUAUCUUGAAAUACGAAAAGACGUUAAACAGGACAUUCCGACCUAUCAACCAGGUCAUCUCGGAAACCUCGAUAAUCAGGUAGUCGAGCUAAAUCAGUCGAUUUCCAAUUUACUCCACGUGAAUUGUAUCUCUUACGCGUGCAUAUAUCCCAAGGAGAAAAAGUUAUUAUAACAAUUUCAUGGCAGAACGAGCGAAGAAUUGGCUCGUCCUUCUCUACAGUAAUUAAUUUCAACGGAUAAUCCAAGGGAGUGAAAAUAAGGAGGAGCAAGCAUGAUUCAUUGGCAGCGAAGGCCUUAAACAUCCCCUAUUUCCAUAUCCUUACAAUUUGAUUCCUUCACAGUCCUGCACCAGGCCAUGGAUAUCCCAAGAUCCCGAUGACCCAUUAAAACGCAACUUUAGCGUAGCACACUUUCACGACAAAACGAGGCGAUUCCUACGGCGUCGAAAUAGAAGGGGACAAAAGGUAGACAAAAGAAAAAUUUCCAACCGAGAGUACAAUGCUGACAGAUGGAAAAGAGAAGGAAAGAGCCUGGCCACGGUGUAUUAUCGGAAACGGAGUGCUUUCGUGGCGAGGAGUGCGUGGCGAAGAAUGUAUUGAAAGCAGGUCCCGAUGUCCUUAACCCACUCGUGGUCUCGCGUCCCGCGAUAACGAGCUACCUGGCAACUUCGGAUAAGUGAAACUUGCAUAAUUGGCUACCGUAGGAGGGACGAAGAAAGAACUCGACCAGCAGGUAACUGCACCUGCGAUGUCUCCAAGGUGCGCGCGUGCGCCCGGCCGGCUUGCCGGAGGAACGUGUGCUUCUACAACGAGACCACCGCAUCCGGAUGAACGAUCAAAGGAGCCUCGAACGUUCAACGUUUCGAAGAACCCACCGAAUCACGCUCAUCAACGGAAGCACGAUUGAUCGUGCGUAUUCGAAUUGUUGCUUCUUAGUCGAUUGUUUCAUAUACGCUCGUACGUAUAUGUGGCUUACGCGAAUGUAUUGAAAAUCACAGGAAAUUUGUAGCACGCCCUUAUCGUAUGCGUUGUAUGGAAUAUUUGGGAAUUUCAUCAGCACUACGAGAGGGCACGACUGUCAUGAUUAUACUGCGAAACAUUACGCUGUUUUGUAUUAAUUCGAUUGUAAAAGUUACCGUAUAUUAUAACAAGUAGGAGUCUACUUUGGAUGUUUUAUACAGUUUUGUGUGUUACGUAUACGCGUUGUGUUGGUUUCUGCGUUUUUUAAUUUUGCACAAAUGCAAACAGAAACGCGCGGACGUUCGCAGUCUCGUCAUAAUUACGAUGAUGAGCGAAAAUAAGUUUCAAUUUGCUAUACUCUGUGUGUGUCUACUAGUCGCUUUCCAUCGUAUCGGUUACGGUAGCUGCUAUUGUCGAGUAGAAUUCUAUUUUGCAAAAUUAUUUUGCUUCUCCCUUAAGCUUUCUUUUGUCCGUUAAUACGAUCGGAAGCUAAUCAACGUAGAUAAAAACACAGUGGGAUCUCGUAACAGCGUCAAUGAAAUUUCAAAAUACUUUGCAUAACACACGCGAUCUAUUCGUAAAAUAGAGCACAAGUGACGUGAAUUCGUAAGUGACCACAAAUUAAUUCCAUUAAUUAUUCCUGCCAAUUAGUUCCAUUAAUUUGGUAAUUCUCGAUCGUUCGGAUAUUACGAAUCUAAAAAGACAGAGUAGCUGGGUGAAUAAAAAUUACGCGAUUGAAAAUUUGGCAAACGGUGUUAGCUUUUGAUACGUUGGAAUCGUACGAAGCAAAGACGAAGGAAGAGAAAACAGGGUUUCUCGAAAGGAACGAGGUACAUAUUCCUGUCGCGUUGAUUCUUCCAACCUGCAGCUUGACAGUUUUGGCACGUUGCGUGCUUACACGCGAAAACGUAUGAAUGGAUGUCCCACGAUCCGACCGCAAACCUUCCUGCCAUUUGGAGAGGAUGCGUGAAAUCUUUCUCGUCGAACGACUCACUCCAGCCUGAGACCGAAAGGAUGCAUCUUUCAAAGAGAAAUUAUAUCGUAUAACCGUUUGAAAAGAAGGCGAGAUAACGCACGAUUGCAAAAGCGCAGCACCGGCUUAGGAAGAAGAAAAAUUGCGGUAUCGAUCGGAGAAGCGAUAUUUUGGGAAUACAAAUUUCAACAGAUUCUCAAGCAAUAUUUUACUCGCAUAUAAACGAAGGAAAAAUAUACGUGGAAGCGUGUGGAUCGAGCCGCGUAUAUUACAUUUAACAGCACGGCGACGACGACGUCGAGGAUGCGAAAGGACAAAAAAAAAAAAAAAAGAAAGGGAGAAAAAAAGAAAAACAUCGCGAAGAACGAGAACGUACAAGCUGUUUCGUUUCAGGCAAUAGUUAUUAAUCAAUCGUUAUUUCGAACGGUACACCAUCGAGAUUUGUCCCGGGCGAAAGCUUUUUAAUCUCCCGUCGAGAUCCCGUGGAUCGUUACGAAACGGUGCUUAAAAUGCAGGUGCAAGGGAGAAUACCUAAUAGCGGGCGCAGCUUGAGGGGUGAGGUGCAGCAGUAAAAGGAAUAAUUAACGAGUACCAGCAAUUAUCAUGGAACAGCUUGCGCCCGCAACGUUAACCACGCUCCUCAAGUUUUAUCAUUCGCUUAAUUGUUAAAUAUGGUCGUUUUUAUCGGUGAUAAAGACAAGACGAUUUCAUUAGUGGUCGCAUAGAAUAUUAUUUACAGGGAUCGUGUGACAAUUCGUGUCUUCAGAAUUUCACAAAGUUUAAUGGAAUAUCCUUUCUGGAUAAGUAUUAGUCAGUAAUUAUACACUGGCUACCGCAAGUAUUAUAGGGCACUGGAUCGGUGCGAUCGUUGUAAAAUUCUAACAAAUCUUUUGUAUUUUACGUUAUAAAGUAUUUUACAUUAUAAAGCACGCGCGAACGAACCGACGGAUUUGUAACGAAAGAGUUAAAACAUGAAAACAGUGGAAAGCAUUCAAGUUGAUAUCGCAAAGUGAACAAUUGGUAGUGUACAUCUUUGCUUAAAAUUUAGCUUGUAAAAGAUCAAACAGCAUCGAAAAAUACACCAUCAAAUACACCGCGUGUAUGUACUCAUUUUUUAAAUUGUUUAUUUAAAACCACAAUUGGUAGCGUACAUCUUUGCUUAAAACUCAGCUUGUAAAAGAUCAAAUAGCAUCAAAUCGUGUCCUCUAUCUGCGUAUACGUACGCAGUUUUUAAAUUGUUUAUUUAAAACCACAAUUGGUAGCGUACAUCUUUGCUUAAAACUCAGCUUGUAAAAGAUCAAAUAGCAUCAAAUUGUGUCCUCUAUCUGCGUAUACGUACGCAGAUUUUAAAUUGUUUAUUUAAAACCACAAUUGGUAGCGUACAUCUUUGCUUAAAACUCAGCUUGUAAAAGAUCAAAUAGCAUCAAAUUGUGUCCUCUAUCUGCGUAUACGUACGCAGUUUUUAAAUUGUUUAUUUAAAACCACAAUUGGUAGUGUACAUCUUUGUUUAAAACUCAGCUUGUAAAAGAUCAAAUAGCAUCAAAUUGUGUCCUCUAUCUGCGUGUACGUACGAAUUUUUAAAACUAUUUAUUUAAAAUUAUAUAUCACGAUAAAUGUAUGGAUAUGAUGAUGAAAGAUAACCACAAUGUAGAAAUGAGCAUAUAAAGUACGCUAUAAAUAAAAUGUCGUUUCUUAUUAAUGGGCUGCGCAAGUUUAUGAAACUUACAUUUUGAUCUGCGUGUAUAACACGACAGAGAAGAGGCAUAAAAAUUCAUCGGUUUCGAAAGGAACGGAACCGUCUCAAAUCCAAUAACACUUCCGUUCCGGGUCUGAACCGAACAGUGAAUGGUAGAAAAAGUAGGUGUUCGAAAGGCAAUUAAUGAGCGAGCGUAAUUAUUGGCGGAUGGACAGAUUGGGGCUGACAUGGUGGUUCGCGUGCAACGAUCGCUUCCCGUUUCCCUGUGGCGUUACACGGAAAUCAUUCGAGACUUACAACCACUCGUUCCUACACUUGUCACACGUAAUUCUGCAAUUUUGACUGGUCACGCAUACAAACACCGCGUCAUAUUUUUUCUUGCCCAGUUUCGACCACGUUGCAAACUUCGUGUGUUUUACUUUUUAAAAAAUUGUAUCGAUUUCUUUCGUGUAAUUAUAUCGCUGGAAAAACGUGAACAUGUAGCUGCGUUUAUGAAAGGCGAGGACCAAGUAAAAUUCAUUGCCAACGAUAAGAUGGUCUUUUUUACAAAAUAUCUAAACGCGCUCAAAGCAAGUACAACGUGAAACUUAAAAAAAGCAGGAAAUUUAAUUUAACUCUGGUAUUUCGGUUUACCAAAAAUUCCCUCUCGCGUUACAGAUCCUUAUGGCCCUAGGAUGACUCAGACAAAAUUUCGAUCUAAGCUUAUGUUAGCUUGUCCGAAAAGUUUCUUUCGUUUCAUAAGUGAAAUAUAGUAGAUGCACGACGUUUUCCUUUACUUACUUACUUCCUUAUAAAAUGAAAGGAACAUUUCGGACAACCCAAUAGAUUACAGCUAGACUCUUCUACACGAGUAAACGACAGCUUGCCCUCAAGCAACAACGACACGCGUCACUUUCCAACAAAAUUAUGUAACUAAUAAUAUUCAUGGCAUCUGCUCACCUCGUAACCUCAUAAACCAAUUAACGGUUAAAUCAAUGCGCAAUUAACUAAUCUCAGAAGCUACCGUAAUUCAAGAAAAAGAAGACUACAGAUAAGAAAGGUGCAAGAGCAAUGGUGUUGCCGACAUUGUGGCGUGUUUCGAUCGAGCAGGCGAUAGGAUUCCGGUGAAUUAAUCGGUAAGAAUCUAUCAAGAAUGCAGAAGUCACGAAGGGUGAAGAAGGCGCGUGCACGAAGGAUGCAAGGCGAGGAUGCACCGAGCGGAACGUGCACCCGACGCGGAGGAGCCGGCUAGCACCCGAUGCUUCCCUUUCCCUUGUUCGCCGAGCGGAUCCUCCAUUGGCGUAUCACCUGCCUUUCCGUUCCUUCGCGAUUACCGGAUUUUGAUUCGAGCGCCAGAUGUCGGGGCUCGCGUUCCAGGGACUCUAUCAAAUCCGAAAUCGUCCAUUCCAACGAACCGUUAUUGCUGUUACGAGCCUAUCUGGCUGAUGUUAAGCGACGCCAUCAGGAUCAUAUCGUCGAUCGUAUUUACAUACGAGUUUCGAUCGUUUCGUUUUUUUACCGUCCUCUUUUUACGUUGAUUUACUAGUUGAUUUGCUUCAGAGAAUUUUGUAUAAUGUUAUGAUGUUCUUAGUACAUAUUCGAGUAUCGAGCGAAUUAAGUUUGCACGUAGUACGUUUACUAAAUUAAGCGAUAUGUAGUAUUGUAAUUAUACAUAAAGAGUAUUUGAUUAUACAUAGAUAUACAUAACACGUUUGGAACAAUAGAUACAAAAAAUGUAUGUAAUCUGCAAUUUCUA